rnacentral:rRNA from 1 species
UACGUAGGUGGCAAGCGUUGUCCGGAUUUACUGGGCGUAAAGGGCGUGCAGGCGGUUUGUUAAGUGCAGGGUGAAAGCUCCCGGCUCAACUGGGAGAGGUCCUUGCAUACUGGCAAACUCGAGGGAGGCAGAGGAAAGUGGAAUUCCCGGUGUAGUGGUGAUAUGCGUAGAUAUCGGGAGGAACACCAGUGGCGAAGGCGGCUCACUGGCCCGGUACUGACGCUGAGGUGGCGAAAGCGUGGGGAGCAAACAGG